rnacentral:hammerhead_ribozyme from 1 species
CUGCUGAGGAGUCCCACAAUAGGAUGAAUAGGACGAAACGGACGUCCAG